AUCGAUUCUCGAUUAUGGCGGAUAAUCUCGAAAUUGCGAUUCGAUACUUCUCAGUUGGGAUUGAUUUCGCGCGUGAAACGCAUCGUAGCGUCGUAUCGACCAGCGAACAACACUGACUGACAGUUUCGCGAACUAUACACGCGGUCUCGUGAGUAAUCGUCGAAAUUGAAACGCGAAUCGGUCGUAUGGGCCACCGUGAUCCGGCCUCGGAACACACGCUCGUUGAACUGUCGUUCGGAGCAGCUCGGCCCGCGGUUUAGUAUCAACGUUCGUUCUUGGCUGGCGUCGCGCCCCUCCCGGGACGCCGGUCGACGCCAAUCGAGUGCGCGUAUACCUACGUGCACGUACCUGCGAACCUGAGAGGAGAACCCACCUCUGCCUUCCUGUCUGAAUCUCCACUGCGCGCACCUCUACGCCCGAGCCUGUCUAAAAGAACAAGCCCGGGUAUCACCGAUGACAACGAGGAUCGACCGAUGAAUCAGGGGAGGACAGGAGGGUCGCAUUCCAUCGGAUCGAGAUUUAUUUGCCGAAUAAAUGUUGAGGAGAGUAUCGACUGGAGCGUGGCCCGAGGCCUCUCACGAUGCGCUGUGAUUAAGACGUCCCUGGAUCCAAUGGACGGCGCCGCCGAGACUGCAUCUUCGAGAAACCAGGGAACCGGCAGCAACGUGCGAACAAUCUUCGAUAAUGAACCGACCACGGAGAAAUUUUGACAACGAGAGUGCGGCUCGAGUUCACGGUGAGCCGAUGACGUCAGUCAAGAACGAUCUCGACCAGGAAUACCGAAGAUAGCGGGAGGCCUGGAUCGCGGCUGUAAGGGAAAACCGAUGAAGCUAUACGUAGCUGGCCAAUGUAUCAUUUCGAGUCCGAGCGAGAGAUACGACUUGUCCCAGAUGUCCCUGUGCAAUUUACAAAAAUAAAAAGUGAAGGAAUACAGAGAGAAGGAAAAAAAUACGAGUGGAAACACGGAACAGCGUAUGAUUUAAAGGUGGAAGCUUGAUUGGGAAAUAUAGCGGUGGAGAAUAAACUCGACCAUCAUUCGAUAGUUGAUAUGUAUUAUACGUGCCUGUAUAAGGUACAACCGAGUUCCGCGUUUAGUUUUCCCGCAACUCGAGACGGAUCCUAAAGCCACAGGCACGAUUUCGUAGCUGUGCGCGCGUACAACUUGUAAGCGCAUUAAUUAAACCGAUACGUUUCAAGACUGGUCUUUGAUUAAUCACGCCACAUUCCAUCCGCUCCGUUUUGAGAAAGCCGCUGAAUAAUCCCCCCGGCGAGUAAGACACGCUCGUGACCCGCAGCAAACAACACAAUGGAAUAACUGAAUCUGGGUAUCGAUGAUCGAUAGCUUCGGAUCUGAUUCGACCCCGCGGUCGCCUCGCAAGAAGGAGUCGACGCCCACGCGACCUGUCGAUCUUAAACGUACAACAAAUAUCGAUUUCCCCGCCGAAUCGACCUCGACCGAUACUCCGUUAAUUUUACUUGUUGCCUAGAUUCCUUUUCGUCGACCUCGUUUCGAUUGCAAAGCUACGU